rnacentral:lncRNA from 1 species
CUGGCGGGGGAAGGGCGGUGGAAAGGCCUGGCAGGUUCCCUAUUUUAAUCUUCUCAGUGACGCAGGAAGCAAGGUCAUCAGCGGAGAUGAGCAUCGUGGAGGAGACAAUGGUGUGCAGAGGUCUCAGCAAAUAUCUGCCAGACUGAAUGGGGAAUGGUCCUGUGUUUCACUGGCUCUGACCCCAGCUCCUUUGUUUGCUGGACACAGAUCUGUGGUGCAGAAUCCUCAGUGAGCCUCUGGAUGAGCCACCCACAGUCUGUCUUUCUGGCUCUGAAGCACCUGCUACCUCAUCUCAAAAAUACCACUGGAUGGAUUAACUGGAUUCUGCAGCCCUUCUGAUAUCUUGUUAGAGAAAACAAGCGAACUAGAAAUCCACUGGCUUUAACUUUCCUUCCCAAACACAGGCCUGUCCACUGGGGAAAUCUCUCAGCUGCUGGGUUGGUAUUUCUUUUCUAACAAACCAAAACAGUUACCUUCCUCUUCCAGGCACGGUGAAGAGAAAGAUGACAACUUGGAGUGAUUGGCUUAUAUCUCUCUGAUUGUACUCCUUGGACCAGGGCUGCUAAGGGAGAUAGACCAACACAUUCCCAAUCUAGCCGGAUGCACCAGAAAGGCCAUGUGUUCAGACUCAAUUCUGCACGCCUCCCCCAGGCGGCUGCUCUGCACAGCCACAGCCUCUCUGGACACCCCCACCUGCCAGGUCCGCUGUGCUCAACUCUUCCUUCAACCCGGCUCCUCAUCUCCAGAGCAGGACCUCUUCACUGCUUCCCACACUUCCUCCCCAGAAGGAGAGAAUACACAAUAGAAAACAAAGGAGACAUAGAGAGAAAAGCGGAACUCAGCAAAGAGCAGAAAAUGUAAGCGAGGGAUCCCAGGAAAUUGCAUCUGAAGCCUGAAUCGGCGUCUCCCUCGUGGACUGUUCACCAUUCCCCAUCGCUGUCUGGGAAGGUUGUCUCCAUGGCAAUGGGGACCACCUAGUUAGUUCCCAACUCGGUCUAUCCUGGGAGACCCCGAGCAACAGUCUCUCUUCACCGUGGCUCCUGCCGGCUCCCUGACUAGCAACAGUCUCUCUUCACCGUGGCUCCUGCUGGCCCCCUGACUACUGGUCCUCAUAGGCGCUUUCCAGACACCCACACCUUCUCGACAAGCCAGUGCAAUCAGCUGCCCGAAGGAAGACACAGAGCUUCCAUUUCCAAGUUGCUCCUGCCUGUACCCCACCACCUUAUGCCAUUAAUAAUGGCGGUGCCCCACCCCAGCACACACAUCUGACAAGCACAGUUGGCCCGGGGCAAACUCGGCUUCACUGAGCAAAAUGGAAACACAAGACAAUUGCAACAGGGUCUUCCACUCGCCUCCCUUGCAAAACGCAAAGUUUCUCUCGUCUACUUUGGGAAGUCUGAGUGUUUUCUCUUACUCCAGGUUUACUUUCCCACCAUUGUCCUGCCUAGCACACCAGGAAAAUUUAGCAACAGCAGAAAUCCACCUUGGACAAAUUUUGUGAAACCUUCCUGCAAAAUCAUCAUCCCCCUCAAAACCAACCAUCCUCCAGACAGUCUUCACCAUCAGGCUAGACACAUUUCCUGUCUGGAAUAUCCACUUUUAGGCAGACUGAGGCUGGAACGAGGCAAGAGAACCGUCCAGCUCACAAAGCACAGGCCGGCAGUGGCUGCAAUGAGUGGCCGCCUUCUGGGGCUGCUGCCUCGUCACACUGAUUUUAUUUUUCUGAUGCUCUAUAAUGAAGUGUACCAAUUAAAAUACGCUGGUGUCAUCAUGUGUUGCCUCAAAAAUAAGUCUCUUUUAUCAUACAAAAGAAAAAUAGCAUUUAUAAAAUAAGAGCAACCCUCCCGCUUACUUGCUGCUAAAAAAAGUCAGUGCACUUUUCCGGUGGACAGUUUAACGCGACUCGCCGUGUGAAACACGCAUGGCUUUUGACCCAGCAAUUCUUCUUCUGGAAAGGUGUCAUUAAGCAGAUAACAGGGACUUCUGGUUAAACAUGGCGGACCUCACACAGUGUUCAUUCCUUCUCUCUCCUAAUCCUCUCUAAAAUGAAAACUAAAGGAAUAAAAUGUUGUAAAUACACAAAACCAAAAAUAAUAGGCAAAAUGAGAAAAUACAGUAUCAGGUAAAGUUGCCAACGUAGUGUGUGUGGCAAAGAUGGUGUGUGGAGCUGAGAAGGCUGAAGCCCAGGCACCUGGAAAACGGGGGCUGUUAGGAAUUAAGCCCUGCUCUCUGAAGAACCCGGAGAGGCUCCCGAACUGGAGCACCAGUAGCUGUGGGAGGUGGGGAGCCUGCGGGCUGAAAAGGAAGAGUGUGGACAAGGUCUGCAUGAGAGGUAUAGAUGCCUGUCCCACACCCCUCUCCUCCCCACAUGGCUCCUUGCCCUGGCUACUGCUGAGGACGUAAGGCAUCCAGAAUGACAUGGAAGCUGUUAACAAAAGACCGGUGAUAUCUGUGGAGGCAACGGGAGAACCUUAUUUUCUAAAAGCAAAUAGAUUUUGCUUUUAGAAAAAUCUGUGAUUGUGGACACGCAGCCUUUGGUGUAAGACACAGGUGGAGGGAUCAGGGAUUGGGAGAUGAUGAAGGCAAAUCCUUCAGAAUAGGAGUUUAGGGGGAGUUCGUUGCAGGAUCUAGACGGGAAGGCCUUUAAGCGAGACCUUGCCGGUCUCUCUGCAUCAGCCUCAGGUGGCCUGCGGGUGGUCAGUGGGGAAUUUUAAGCCAAGGUCUGGCUCAGCACCAACGACAGGAACUGGUCUGGCCUGAUUGUAGAAAGGGAGGUCCUAUGACACUUUCACAACAUCUUCCCGAAGACAGAGAGUGGGUGGCCGCUUCCUUAUCCUGCCAUGGCCGCCUGCUUGUUUUAACUCUGAGUGCAUCAGGUGGCCACAGGGAGCCCCUUUUGUCUGUCGGCUGGGAGCACACUUAACAAAGCUUACAUUCAGGAACACAUGCCCAGUAGAGGUCGGAGGGGUGCGAUGUUGGAAAUGAGAUUAAAUAAAUGCCUACGUAAUAUUCACAGAGACCCCAGCUCUCUCCUGAAGCUCAGCUCCAAGAACGGUGGUGGUCAGGGCAUGGCCGCACAACCUUACCUUGACCACUCAGGAAAAGGCCUGGCUGUUCCCAAACAGAAGAUUUAUAGAUAACCACAACAAAGCCGCCAGCUUCCAGCCCCAUCAUGCUGCAGAGACCUCACCACGGGCGGGCCCCCUGCACAUGUGUGGAAGCUUCCCAUCAGGGUCAGUGUCUCUCUCCUCAAUGCAGGCAGAAAGGCGUCUGGAGCGGGGAGACCACGGCCAGCAAUAGACACUGCAGAUUUAGUGGCAAAGACGGGGGCAGAGCUGGAAAACUGAAAGAAAGAGAGAAUAAAAUGAGAACAAGAACCAGGGUAUGAGCUGUCGGGAAGAUGCUAAGGAAAAAAGCCUACCACAAUCUUCUCAUCCAUUCUUCUGCUUUAUUCAAACGUUCGGGUCCUUGUCUGGCCUCAAGAAGGAAUAAGAGGCAGGGUAUCUCAAAAUUCUGCUAGGUUUAACAUAGCUUCUUCUUGGUCUUGUCGCUUUCUGCAUUUUUAUGACUUCCCAGUAAAACUCAGCAUUCGGGGAGGGAAGGCAGAGAGAGUGCAAAGUGGGAGAACCCGGGACUGGCAUUGGUGAGGGGGCUGUGCUGAGGUCAGAGGUGAUCCUCUCUGGCCCAGCAGAGACCUAGAGCCUCUUGACAGUCGGGUCCAGGUGAGUGAAAUGAGAGUCAAAGCCAGGGUGGAGGGGUGUUGCAGCCUCCAGGGAGCUGGAGACUGGUACCGGUGAGAGGGAGGACUAGGAAGGGCACAGGGAGAAAGGAAAAGAACUGCAAUUUGAAGGUCCUGAUGUUGAAAACUCUGAUGAGCUCCCAGUAAAGUAAGUAGAGCUAAGACGAUUGUCCUCAAGGCUAAGAUGGAUUAAAAGGUGGCCAUGGAGGUGACCACAGCCUCCUCUCAUCGCAACAGACAGGGAAGAGCAACACGGUGAGCCACAGGCGGGUCUGCCUCCCGCUGCCUUUGGACUCAAUAUCGACCUUACCUGAAUUUCCAGCCUGCUGGUCUGCAGACUUCAGAUUUCCCAGCCCCACAAAGGAGUGAAAAAAUUCUCUGAAAUCAAUCUCUCUCUCUCUCUCUCUCUCGGUCUAUUUCUCUGGAGAACUCGGACUCAUGCAGAUUUUGGUCUGAGGAAGGUGAGAGUGAGCUGUGUUUUCAUUCAGCAGGGGUGACUGGAGCCUGGACUUCCCUGAGCCUGCACACACAAGGAUCCACAGUGGAGGGCUCCUCCAUCUAGACUGGUCACCAUGGAAGCAGAGAGUAAAAAUACAGCUGAGAGGGGUGGCCGUGGAAAUGUGUGUGACUCACUCGGGAGCACCAGGAUGCACACAGGAGGAGCACCAAGGAUGAGCACGGGAGCACCAAGAAUGCACACAGCAGCACCGGGGAUGCACACAGGAGUAUUGGGGAUGCACACAGGAGUAUUGGGGAUGCACACAGGAGUAUUGGGGAUGCACAUAGGAGCACUGGGGAUGCACAUAGGAGUAUUGGGGACGCACACAGCAGCACCAGGGAUGCACACAGGAGCACCGGGGAUGCCCACAGGAGCACCAGGGAUGUGAACAGGAGCAUUAGAGAUGCAUGCAGGAGCACCGGGGAUGCACACAGGAGCACCAGGGAUGUGAACAGGAGCACCGGGGAUGCCCACAGGAGCACUGAAGAUGUGUGCACAGGAGCACUGAGGAUGCGCACAGGAGCACCGGGGAUGUACGCCCCACCCAGAGCCAGGAGGAGUCUGGAUGACUUCCUGAAAGUCAUGAAGCUUGGGUGAGUGGGUGAAACGGAGGGAACAUUGGCACCCGAGCCCAGAUGGCCAUACCCACCGAUUCCAGAGGCAGGGCACUGCACACCGGGAGUGUGUGUGUGAUGGUGGCUGGGUGCAGGGACAGAGGCUUAGUAGACACAGGCAGCAAAUGUGCUCAGACACCUGGCAUCAAGGGCUCGUGCAUCAAGUUAGAGUUUGGGUCUUACCAUGUGGGCUGUGGAGUGCCUCUGAAUAUUCUAAAUGGGGAAGUGACUUGGUCAAGAUUUUCACUAGGAAUAUAUGUUGUUAUUUAUUAUAGUCGCCGUGUUAUGCAAUAGGUCACCAGAGCUGAUUCCUGCUACCCAUCUGAAACUUUGUUCCCUUUGGCCAGCAUACCCUAAGAGAGGAUUUAAAUAUGUUCUUCCAUAAAGAAAUGGCAAACAUUUGAGGUGACAGGUACUCUAAUCAGCUUGAUUUGUUCAUCCCACAAUGUGUAUAUAUACAUAUACUGAAACACAUUGUACCCCAUAAAUAUAUGUAGCUAUCAUUUAUUAAUAAAAAUAUAACAAAUUUGAAAACAAAAAAAUUAAAACAUCUCCCCCAGGAAGAUCUCUCUGUGAUGGAUUUGAGGGAGUGAAACCAGAAUAGUCCUCCUAGGAGGCUGUAGUGGUGCUCCAGGCCAGAGAGAAGGGUGUCCUAAGCAGCUGAGGCUGCGGGAGGGUAUGUGAAGGAGACAGAGUAACAGGACUUGCUACUAAAUAGCCCACGAUGCCCAGGAAAGGAACCCAGGAUGUGUGGACAUUCUGGUUUGAGAAUUGCACAGAGUCUUCGACGACGCACGAGGAGGAGUGGGUUUGGGUAGAGAAAAGACAUCAGUCCAGCGAGGGUGGUGAUGGGUUUCGGAAGAGACCUGGGAUAGCGAGGUGCCUGGACGGCCACACCACUGUGACCAAUUUGCUUAUGCAGGUCACACCCAACAGUGACAGGAUCACAGGCUGAACUAUCCACCAGAGCCUAGAUGUGGCAAAGACGAGCCCAUGAAAUCAUCCACACUGUGCACUGGAGGAAGAUGACAGGGGAUGGGGCAUCCUCUGUAAAAAGCAGGAAGGAGGAGGAUGUCCUCAAUAGCAUUCUACAGUCACAGAACUCUAUCAUUUUCAAGGGUAAGAAUGAAGGCUUUAAGUGGUAUUAUUCCCAUUUUACAAAGAGGGAAACUGUUACAGAGGGAUAGCUUCCACCCUAGUUCCAGUUUUGUGGAUAUGAUACUGGCUCUUGGAAGCGAGGUCCUGAACCUGACAUGACGAACCUGAGGGCAUACCCUGUAAUACCCAGGACCUCGACAUGAUCGAGGACACUUUCAGAGGGCAGCCCGGACCAGGAACCCUGAGCUCCGGCCUGGGCUCCUCUCCUGCAGCCUCCCUGAGCCGGCACUGCCAGGCGUGCACCUAAUGGCUGCUCGCGUUCUCUGUGACUUCCAAGGUGGGUGACAGGAAAAGGGAGCUACAUUCCCUGGGCUGGUGGCUCAAGCCCCGUGGCAGCAUCUGUUUUUAAGUGAUAUGCACAUGACAGUUUUUAUGGCGUCCUUUCUGAUAUCAAAUCCUGUCUCUUCACUUCCAACCCAGAAUUAAUUGAGAAUGUUUCUUCCUUAGGUUUGAUGAUUCUUAUGGUUAUUGAGGCCCAUGUGCACAGGUAAGAAGCUUUAUAUAAGUAACCAUAAUACCUUGCAUUUUUCCAGUGUGUAUUUUUUCUUGAGAGAUCAAAAGACUAUGGUAUCGCCCUCCUGUGGCUGAAAGGAAAUGUUCGCUCAUGUGCUGUGGAUGCACUGUCACGUCCAUGGGUGAGGUCACAUUGCCUGCGUGUGGAAGCUGUCACCUGACACACGCUUACUUACCUUGCAGGGAGCCAGCAGGGCAAACACCUCUUCGUCCUGAAGCUGAGUGGCUUGGACAGGCACAACGUGGCACCAGGAGCCCGAGGGGAGCCAUCAGGGCUGCAAGAACCAGCAUGACCACAGCCUUCCAGUCCAGAGGCCUGGGGUGGAAGGAGGGAUUUGACCAAGCCGUAGGAGUCAGGAAAUGGUUGUGUUGCCAGUGAUAGAUUCACUGGAGAUGUCCCAGCUUUGACUGUGUGGAGGCACGCAGGCUUCAGGACAGGAGCACGGAAGGAGGUGGGCGCUGCACCACCUGCAGGGGCCAGUGGUGAGGAAUGAGGAUGGGCAGAAGAUUCAGGGACUUGACCUUGGGUUCAAGGACAUCUGGGCUGUGAGGAAGGACAGAUGCUCUGGCUGGAGGCCUCGUCACCUGGGACACCAGGCCUGGAAUGCAGCUCUCCAUCCAGCCCCCGCUCGCUGCUGACGCCUCCUGCUGGGAACAAAUAACUCCCAGGGGAGGAAAUAAAGAGGGCACACAGAGCUGUGAGCGCUGUCCCGGUGCACCACGGAUCCAAGUGAUGAGGGUGAAAGGAGAGGCUUCGUUUUCCUUUGGCAAUCAAAUUUUAAAAGAUUAAUAAUCCAGGUUGUUACUAGUGAGUGGGAGAGCAGCGACACACACAUUGCCUUACGCUGAUGGUAAAAGUAAACGUGGAAUAAAAUGAUACUUACAGGAAGCAAUAGCUGUCAAGGAACUUUGGGGAACUUUUCCUAAUUAAAUAAUCUAAAACAAGAAGAAAACUGUAUUCACCAGGAUGUUCGCGACACUGCUGUUUAUGGUAUUAAAAAUAAAAACAGUACCAUGUCCACAGUUAGCGAAAUGGUUCAUGAUAACACUACUCUGCAAUGUAAAGGGGAGUUCACACACCGAGAACGAGGAAAUGACAAUGAAUUGACAUGAGAAUGACUGAACCAGCAGUGACCUGCGCAGUGUGGCUCCUGGGAGAGGCCUGGGCCAGUGUGUAAUCUCACAGCCAGAGUCCAAGCCACAGGGGAGACUCCCAGAGCCUCCCUAAGCUCUACCUUCCCGCUCUGUAAAGCAAAGAUAGAAAUGCGGGUCUCAGGCCAGGCGCAGUGGCUCACACCUGUAAUCCCAGCACUUUGGGAGGCCGAGGAGGGCGGAUCACUUGAGGUCAGGAGUUCAUGACCAGCCUGGCCAACAUGGUGAGACUUUGUCUCUACUAAAAAUGCAAAAAUUAUCUGGGCGUGGUGGCGCGUGC